GGGUUGUGAGGUUAAGCGACUAAGCGUACACGGUGGAUGCCCUGGCAGUCAGAGGCGAUGAAGGACGUGCUAAUCUGCGAUAAGCGUCGGUAAGGUGAUAUGAACCGUUAUAACCGGCGAUUUCCGAAUGGGGAAACCCAGUGUGUUUCGACACACUAUCAUUAACUGAAUCCAUAGGUUAAUGAGGCGAACCGGGGGAACUGAAACAUCUAAGUACCCCGAGGAAAAGAAAUCAACCGAGAUUCCCCCAGUAGCGGCGAGCGAACGGGGAGGAGCCCAGAGCCUGAAUCAGUGUGUGUGUUAGUGGAAGCGUCUGGAAAGGCGCGCGAUACAGGGUGACAGCCCCGUACACAAAAAUGCACAUAUUGUGAGCUCGAUGAGUAGGGCGGGACACGUGGUAUCCUGUCUGAAUAUGGGGGGACCAUCCUCCAAGGCUAAAUACUCCUGACUGACCGAUAGUGAACCAGUACCGUGAGG
rnacentral:rRNA from 1 species